rnacentral:rRNA from 1 species
AGGCCAUUGCUAUUGGAGUCCGAUUUAGCCAUGCUAGUCGCACGGGUUCAGACCCGUGGCGAAUAGCUCCGUAACACGUGGCCAAACUACCCUAACGAGCACGAUACUCUCGGGAAACUGAGGUUAAUAGUGCAUACGGCUCGCUGCCUGGAGUGGCGCGAGCUCGAAAUGCUCAGGCGCGAUAGGAUGUGGCUGCGGCCGAUUAGGUAGACGGUGGGGUAACGGCCCACCGUGCCGAUAAUCGGUACGGGUUGUGAGAGCAAGAGCCCGGAGACGGUAUCUGAGACAAGAUACCGGGCCCUACGGGGCGCAGCAGGCGCGAAACCUUUACACUGCACGAGAGUGCGAUAAGGGGACUCCAAGUGCGAGGGCAUAUAGUCCUCGCUUUUUCCGACCGUAGGAUGGUCGGCGAAUAAGUGCUGGGCAAGACCGGUGCCAGCCGCCGCGGUAAUACCGGCAGCACAAGUGAUGACCGCUAUUAUUGGGCCUAAAGCGUCCGCAGCUGGCCACGCAAGUCCAUCGGGAAAUCUCCCCGCUCAACGGGGAGGCGUCCGGUGGAAACUGCAUGGCUUGGGACCGGAAGAUCCAGAGGGUACGUCUGGGGUAGGAGUGAAAUCCUGUAAUCCGAGACGGACCACCGGUGGCGAAAGCGCUCUGGAAAGACGGAUCCGACGGUGAGGGACGAAAGCUCGGGUCACGAACCGGAUUAGAUACCCGGGUAGUCCGAGCUGUAAACGAUGUCUGCUAGGUGUGGCACAGGCUACGAGCCUGUGCUGUGCCGUAGGGAAGCCGUGAAGCAGACCGCCUGGGAAGUACGUCUGCAAGGAUGAAACUUAAAGGAAUUGGCGGGGGAGCACUACAACCGGAGGAGCCUGCGGUUU